UCGUGUCGAGCAUCCACGACACCCCGAGAUGGAUAAGACCGCCCCCUCCUCCCCGAAACCCUAGCAUCCCCUUUUUCUUCCCUCUCGCGCCCCUGCCUCUCCUGCUCGACGCCCGUGCAUUGCCGUCACCGCCAUUCAUCGUUGCCGUCCUCUGGGUCAUCCCCGAGCUGCUACAAGGUGGCCACGAGCUUCCCCAACCUCGUCUCCUUCACCUAUGCCUCUGGAUCGAAGCCAAAGGGCCUUGUAUGCUCCACAUCGAGCCGCCAUCCCCACCACAGCCGCCACGGCCGUCGCCGUCGAUCCCCACCUCCGGCACCCCCUCGACCUGUUCGAGCACGGCCCCGACCUCCUCCCAGUGAGCCUCAUCGAUUCCCCCCUUUUCCCUUUUAUUCGUUGCCGUUUGCCGUCGUCCCCGAGCUCGGUUGUCCUCUUCCAUGGCCGCGUUCGAGCCUCAGUGUACGCGCACGUGCCGGUGCCUGCUCUUGCCCGUGACCGCGCCCUGAAUGUGACCCGCGCGCACCCGCGCCGCUGCUUUCCCCCGCGCCGACCUGCGCUCGUCGCCGCGCCCCUCGCUCUCGUGCAGCUGCUUGCCCGAGGGACGCGCCCGCGCAGGCCGCGUCCACCCUGUCGCUGCGCCGCUGCUACUGCUCCGCCGGGCCUGCUGCUCGCACUACUGCCGCGUUCUGCUGCUCACUGCUCGUUGGUACUGUUGUUCGCUGCUGCCAUCGCCCAUUGCUGCCGCUGCUGCCAACUAUUGCUACCCCUGUGUGCUGCUCACUGCUGGUGCUCAUUUGCUGCCCGGCCGGCCGCGCCGUGGCCAUGGCACAGCAUGGCUGCGUGCGUGUGAGCCCCUGUACGAGCGGCUAUGUUCUCCACAGCGUGGCCGACCAUUCUUAGUUAGGUUUAGGAUAGAUUAGAUUCUGGGCUAAAUUAGCCUAUGUCAAGUGGGCCCCUAUACUUAAUUAGUUUAGUUAAAUACUAGGCUUAUUUCUUUUAAUAGGGGUACUCUAUGACAUGCGGGACCAAGGGCACUAUUCAUCCUUUGACCUUUCAAACAUUUGACUGGCCAACUCAGUCAACAGGCCCACAUGUCAACGUCUAUAGCACCUUGCUGUGUGCACUUCAGUGUGUGCACAUAGCAUUCUUUUCUACUUUUUCGAAUUAAAAUUAAUCCAGUAAAUUUCAGAAAUUGUUUAAAACUUUAAAAAUUAAUGGAAAAUAAACCGUAGCUCAGAUGAAAAAGUUUUAGAUAUGAAAGUUGCUCAGAACGAUGAGACGAAUUCGAACACGCGGUCUGUUUACGUGUCAGAUGCCUCUCACUAUCUGAACAUGGAACUUUCCUUCUCCGGUCAUCUGUUUGACAAAGGUCCGGAACCGAGAAAACAUUCCCGGUUGACUUCCCCCUUCAUCGGUAUCAUGUAGCACCGCGUUAGAACACGUCUAGCUCUGUCUGUUGUCCUGUUAUGCACUUGCUUGCUAUGUUUUUACUGUUUCUCCCCCUCUUCUCUUCGGUAGACCCCGUGACGAUGCUGAUGCCGCUGUGAUCGACUACGUCACCGACGACCCCUUCUUCUUGUCUGAGUAACCAGGCAAGCAAACCCCCCUUGAGCAUUCCGAUAUCGCCUAUUUCUUUCCCUCUGAUACUUGCAUUAGAACUGCUACUUCUUUUUGUAUAAUCCUACUCUGAUGCAUAGCCUGAUUUUGUUACUUGCUUAUUGUUACCUUACCUGCUUAUCCUAAACUGCUUAGUAUAGGUUGAUUAUUGAUCCAUCAGUGACCCCCACCUUGUCCCAGUUGCCCCUCUUUAUGUUCGAUGACUCGAUUAAUGUGAUCGACGUCUAGGUCCCGACACCGCACAUCACCCCCCUAAUUGAACGACUUUGUAGAGUCACCAUCGAGUGCCGAGGGUGGAACCUCUUACAACACUCCUGGUGAGACCUCUGUAGUGUAGCUAUUCGGUCGUGGUCAUCGACGGUGAUUUCCUCCUUAACCACUUCCGAUACGGCUAUGUCGUGAAACCCCUUAAGUGUGAACCUCAGGGGUGGAUCCUCUUACAUUCACCUUGAUGAUUACAUCGAGUGGAAUUCACCGGGGGUGAUUCCUUGGGUUUUCCCCUUGAUGUUUGGACACACGGAUACUUGGACUUUACAGCUGUUACUUGGAAAGGCGGGUCAACCCUGAGAGGUACCCAUGAGUGAUGUGGAGACGGGUUGACCUGGAGAGUACCCGAGAGUUGAACAUGAGGCGUGGCCGGGCAUUCUUAGCCCUUGUCGCAAGUCCUCGAGACGGGGCGACAGGGUCACAUCUUUCGUGAGUCUCUGCUUGUUAUCGCGCGUUCCUAAUCCACUACGAUUUGGAUAUUUGAUCCGAGGGGCCUCUGGCCUGAUAGCACUAACCGUCACGUGGGCACAGUAUGGGUGUUCUGCGUUAUAUACAUCAGCCGAAGCUUAAUCGACGUCAGCGACUGAGCGGCGCGUGCCGGGUUGGACUGCGUAAGCUCCUACCUUAUUUAAGGAGGUAGCCAGGUCUGCUCAUCGGCCACGUACGCAACGUGCAGGAGUUCCCGGGGAGAUGGCCCAUGACCCCUGGGGGCAUAGGUUUAGUCCGGCGUGUUGACCUCUCUAUUAAGCCUAGGUCGGGUUGCGGCGUAUUGUUUGGCCGAGGCCAGGCAUGACCCAGGAAAGUGUGUUCGGCCGGAGUUAAUCGAGCGUGGUGGGUAAGUUGGUGCACCCCUGUAGGGAAGAAAACAUCUAUCGAUAGCCUGUCUUACGGUAACGGACACUUGGAGUUGUAUCCCGAUCGAUACAACUAGAACUGGAUACUUGAGAUGAGAAAUGGAUAUGAGAAAUGGAUAGUAUGGCUCUGGGAUUGCUUUCUCGUAGGGAGUCGAGAAAGGAUCUUUGGCCGAGGUUGAUAACACUACUACUACUUUAUAUUAUGUUUGAUCUAUACUCUUCUAUAUGCUGCAACAUGAUUGAAGAUGCUUGAAGAUGCUAGUCUUCGAUAUGCUAGGCUUUCCCCUUCUUUCUGGCAUUCUGCAGUUUAGUCCACAGAUACAACCCAUUUCCUUUGAUACUGAUGCAUACUUAGGUUAUAUCUGAUGUAAGUCUUGCGAGUACUUUGGAUGAGUACUCACGGCUGCUUUGCUACCUCUUUUCCCUCAUACCCGAUUGUUGCGACCAGAUGACGGAUCCCAGGAGCCAGACGACACCAUAAUGACUACUGCUACCCCGAGGGUGCGUACUACUACGUGACGGCCGCUGACGACUUGGAGUAGUUAGGAGGCUUCUAGGCAGGAGGCCUUGCCUUUUCGAUCGUUGUUGCUUUUGUGCUAGCCUUAUUAAGGCAAACUUGUUUAACUUAUGUUUGUACUCAGAUAUUGUUGCUUCCGCUGACUCUUAUGUAUUCGAGCUUGUGUACUCGAGCCCUCGAGGCCCCUGGCUUGUAAUAUAAAGCUUGUAUUAUUUUAAUUUGUGUCUAGAAUUGUGUUGUGAUAUAUUCCCGUGAGUCAUUGAUCUUGAUCGUACACAUUUGCGUGUAUGAUUAGUGUACGAUUGAAUCGAGGGCGUCAUAAGUUGGUAUCAGAGCCGACUGCCUGUAGGAUCUCCCCUUCCAACUCCUUGGCCGAAGUUGAGUCUAGAACUAAAAACCGUUUUACUAACUUGGUUGUGUGUCUUUCGCCAAUUGAGUGGUAUUAGGAUCUUUUAUUCCUCGUCUAUACUUUAGGACUCUGAUCUCUCUUCUAUCCGGGUUAAAUGGUUUUACUAACUCGAGCAUUAGGAUCUCGUGAUCACAUCCUCCCAAAGAGCCCCUUAUUUUAGAUGAUCGCCUGCUGCAUCAGAAGAUUCCAAAGAUACUCUAUGAUAUUCUCUUCAGACUUUGUGCCUGUUGCCUUUGCAAUUCCCUACCAUCGAAAUAUCCUUAUGGAUAACUACACACAUUUGCCAAUCUUACAUUCUAUCCCAAAUGAUCUUGUUAUUACAAGAUGCCUUGAACUGCUCUCCUUUUUCCGAGAAUCCUUUGAGCUUACUGCCUUGCAGUUCCUUGUCAUUUGAAUACCCCUGCGGAUAACUUGGUGCACCUAUCGAGUAUCCGCUCAUCCUCAGUUGAUUCAUGUACUUCACAAAAAUCUUCGUAAUACCAUUCGUUCUUGUGAAAAUCCUCAACAACCUAUUGUUCUUGAAUUUCUUGCUUGCUUGCAUUAUGGAUAAUACCAUAAGUCUAGUAAUCUUAUUUUCAGCUUUGGUCAUUAUCAUUUUGAGUCUGUUGUUACAAUAUGUUGCAAAUGCUCGCAAUCCUUAAUCAGAUCCUAGAAUUCAUCCUUCCGGCUCAGACGUCAUUUUAACAUGUGCUGAAUCUCGAUCAAUCAAAUCACCAUCGAUUGUACCCCUAAGGCUAUUCUACCUAUCCAUCCCUAAUCAGAACAUUGCUUCUGAUCCCUUGUCUUGGAAUUCAUAAUUCCUUUGCAAUUGAGCUUUGAGUUAGUCAGUUGUGUCUAUAAUCUGAUCUCCUUGCAUUCUUUCUUCCUCUGGUUGAAUAUUGAUGCUCACAUCAGACCCCUUGUGGACCAUCAGACCCCUUUUUUGGAUUUUAUCUGACAACGUCCUUCAUAUUCAAUAAGCUUGUGAGCCUUUCCUCGGAUACAUAAUGCUUUUGGUAAAUUGUAUCCUCCGCUUUCUCAAGCAUGCUCUACUACCAAGCUUGUGUUAUUUAUUCUCGAAAUUUAUGAUAUAUGUUCCUAAGAUGCCCCGAUGGGUUGAACCUAUGCCUUCCCUAAUCUGUGUGAACUCAAAAGUUAUGCGGGUUAUACUCUACUGGCUUUUCGUCAGAUAAAAUUUCAAUACUACAGCUUCAUCAAGAGCAAGAAGUAAAAUGAAAAGUUAUGCAUUGUAGAAGUGGGAGUCGACCCUGAACCUUGUGUUCAUGCCCACGGACACGGUGUGGGACUUAUCAUGAAAGCUUCUUGCAAGGAUAUUUAAUCAUUUGAAUAUUCUUUCGGUAUCGUAAAUUGGAUCCCUUGCAGUUAUGGUCCCGAUCAUAUUUCCUCCUUGAUCCCAUUUACUGGGUAAGUUACAAUUACUUAUCCUCUGCAAAUCAUUCCCUCGUCCAACCUCUACUCCGAUUUACCUUCUGGCAUUACACCUAGUACUUGAUACUGGGAAGCCUUAUACCCCAUCACAUCAUUCUUAGCCUGAUCAGCUAUAUUUUUACCAUGUCAACUUUUUAACUAUGCUACUUGGUCCUUAUGUCCGGAGCAACUUCCGACGAUGAGCUAAGCUUACGUCGAUCUUCCUCAUAUUAUCAUUUCACCUCGAACAACAAGCUUGACUUUGAGCUUGUGUCGAAUCAGUGGUUCUCAUAGCCUUUCACUUCAUCCUUCCUUUUCUGCUCGGUGACAUCUUCAUGAAAUCUCUCGACAAAUGUGUCAUGAUCAUCAUCAACAUUCCGAGCUUUUCCAGGAUAUCAAUCGAAUUCAUGAUGAGAAAUACAAUCCUUCUCCUCGAUGAUUUAUGUUAUCGUCGAUAACAUUCUUGCCUUCCCCAACACAAAUUGGUUCAUAUAAUUUUGGAAAUACAUCCUUUUUGGCAUGUCGAUGGAUUGUGGCUGAGCCCGUCGGCCACACCCUCAUCUUGUCACUGCUAAAAUUGUAUGACUUAUUUUCUUAGUUGUUUCCGAUGGAUCCUUGGUAUAUCCAAAGUCUGACCUUUGCUUGAAACCAUGUCAAUGCUAUCUCGAAGCAUGUCUGUGGUAAUCCAAUCUCCAAUAAGAACAUUUGAAGCACGAUACUAAAUUUUCUUUAUCAAUUAUCCAAACACCGUUGUAUGGGUAAUGUCAUGAAUUUUCUUCCCCCUUAUCUAAAGUGUUUUAUACUUCUAUCCUGUCAUGGAUAUCAUGCUCUGCUUGUCCUUGGGAAGGAUAUACCCCUGAAAUAUGUGUUUAAACACAUUUUCCUUUCCAUGGUUCUGUUUAAUUUGACAAUUACAUUUUUCUUUCCAUUGGUUUGUUUAAACCUUAUUGUGAUCUAUAUUACAUAAGCAAUAAUACUUCCCUGCUUAUGUAAACACCUCGUUGUAUCACUCUGUCAGUAAGACCCUGUUACUAUUGUUGAUAACAUUCCGGUAGCCACUGAUGGACGAGAACUUUGCCUAAUGGCCCACCUCGUUCAAUGAGCUGGAAAAUGGUUUUCUUCGUCCCUCGCCAUUGGUACCGACGUUGUUGCCGACAUAACUGACAGGCUACCCUCUGACAUGCCUUGCUAUCAUGACCGUGCAAAAUGCUAGCGCCCUUUCUACUUUUAACCCACAUAGUGGGCUCAUAACCCACAAUUCCACAGGAUCGGAACCUGACUCUCCUAUAUAUCUUUGAUUCCGAAAUAUUCUUGCAAUUGGCUUCGUAUCACGUCACGGCCACCUUUCGGGAGAUGAUCUAUUCCCGAUGCUCUGAACCCCUUUCUCACACUGUUCAUGUAUCAAUUUGUCCAUUCGCUUGAAACUUCCUAUUGUACCUUCAUACUUUGCUCUCGAUGUUUAUUAAGUUUCAACUCGAGAGAUACUUCUGCCUCAUUCCCUGAAUUGUUCACUAGAUAAUUAACCCUAUAAGGGUCAGUUCUCCGAAGUUACUCUUUACUUCCCCACUUAAAUCUCGGGACGAGAUUUCUUAUAGUGGAGGAGAUUUGUAACACCCCAGUGUCAUGCUACAGUAAACUCCUACUAAUGGUUUCACAUCAUCAUAUUUAAAUUUUGCUAAUCAUCACUUUGUCCCAAACCGGCCUCAAUUUCAAAUUUUAGAAGGCAAGUCAAAUUUUUAUUUCUCUCAAACUAUAAAACUAAAAUGUUUGAAUAGUUCUAUAUUUCUCCCCUAAUCAUUUGUCAUGUGGAAGCCAACUUCAUUUGACUCACUAAUUAAUCCUUCGCAAAAUAUUAAAGUGGUCCAAUGACAACUAUUAUGAGCUUUUAAAUAUAAACAAAUGUUUAUGUUUUUCUCAAACCACAUGAAAACUUUUGUGCUGUCUCAAAAUAUUGCCCAAUAAUUAUGCCCCAAAUUUCAAGUUGGUCUAAAUUCGUUUGCUAUGGGAGUUAAGUAGAAAACAAUACCAAAAUAUUUAAGCACAGAAAAUAAAGAAGAGGCUAAGUGCACACCCCUGUUCAAGAAUUCAUCCGAUUAACCAGUUAACUUGCCGAUUAAUCCCUACUCAUAGGGUCACCGAGUAGUCGAUAAACUAAUAAAUCGUCUGAUUAAUUAAUUAAAUGGCCGAUUAGCCUAUUAAUCCCCUACUCGCCAGCCAACCGAGCAGUUAUCAGUUAACGAUUUCCUCAACAAUGAUGCACACUGUGCACUAGAAAGCCUAGUGCUACAGUAGCAUCGCCUAAGCCCACCACGACCUUCUCCUUAUUAUGUACAGAGAUGUACAGGGAGACAGAGCCAUGGCUGUGGCCUCUGGCCAGCCGUCCACGCGCCCGAUGAGCUCGUGUCGAGCAUCCACGACACCCCGAGAUGGAUAAGACCGGCCCCCUCCUCCCCGAAACCCUAGCAUCCCCUUUUUCUUCCCUCUCGUGCCCCUGCCUCUCCUGCUCGAUGCCCGUGCAUUGCCGUCGCCACCGCAUCGUCGUUGCCGUCCUCUGGGUCAUCCCCGAGCUGCUACAAGGUGGCCACGAGCUUCCCCAACCUCGUCUCCUUCACCUAUGCCUCUGGAUCGAAGCCAAAGGGCCUUGUAUGCUCCACAUCGAGCCGCCAUCCCCACCACAGCCGCCACGGCCGUCGCCGUCGAUCCCCACCUCCGGC
rnacentral:lncRNA from 1 species